GUGGACGUAGCUCAGUGGGUUAGAGCGCCUGGUUGUGGCCCAGGAGGUCGCCGGUUCGAGUCCGGUCUUCCACCCCA
rnacentral:tRNA from 1 species